UCUCCGUAGGUGAACCUGCGGAGGGAUCAUUACAGAGUUCUCGCCCUCACGGGUAGACCUCCCACCCAAUGUUACCGUUACCACUGUUUCUUUGGCGGGCCGCCGGGCCCUGCUCGGCCGCCGGCUCCGGCUGGCGCGCGCCCGCCAGAGGCCCUUUAAACCCUGAAUGUCAGUGUCGUCUGAGUACUAUACAAUAGUUAAAACUUUCAACAACGGAUCUCUUGGUUCUG
rnacentral:misc_RNA from 1 species